rnacentral:pre_miRNA from 1 species
AGUGGAAUUUCUGGGCAUAUGGUAAUUCUAUGCUUAACCUUUUGAUAAACCAUUAGCCUGUUUUCCAAAGGGGCUGCAUCAUUUUACAUUCCCACUAGCAGU